UGAGAAUGUCCAGAACUCUGAAAAACAAGUGAAAGAGUUCAAGGAAAAGGUGGAUAACUUGUAUUCGAGUGAUUGAGUGGAUAUGCCACAACAGUGAGCAUUGCGAAGGCUUUGAAAAUAUUGAUUAUGCUUUAAAAUAUAGAGUAUGUUUAGGAAACAGGAGAGUCAGGUGCUCUGGCUCCGGGAAGGGGAUAAAAUUUCAAAAUUAUUUUUCACUAGUACUAAACAGGGACGAGCAAGGAAUCAGAUAAUCAGGUUAAUAUAUGAUGUUAGAAAUCUG
rnacentral:lncRNA from 1 species